rnacentral:lncRNA from 13 species
CACACAAACUGUGACUCAAGUCAGAGAAAAAAAAGAAAAUACAUUUGUACAGUGAUAUAAAAAAUAUAUUAUAAUUUUGUAUAAAGAAUCUAAAAUUAAGAACAAUCUAUGUAUAAGUUAUAAUUGUACAGUUCUUUUUCUGAAAACAGCAUGUUCAAAACCAGCUUUACAGUUAAGACUGAGAUAAAAGGAUGACAUCACACACAGUUCUCAGCAUUCAGCUGCCAUGUCAUAUAUGUGGCUGCUAUCUCAUAUAUGUGGCUGCUAUCUCAUAUAUGUGGCUGCUAUCUCAUAUAUGUGGCUGCUAUCUCAUAUAUGUGGCUGCUGUCUCAUAUAUGUGGCUGCUGUCUCAUAUAUGUGGCUGCUAUCUCAUAUAUGUGGCUGCUCGUGCUCGCUCAUAUUUCUUGGUGUUCAAUGUUUUAAAUAAAUAAAUGGGAUCACUGUGAGGGGCUGGUUUCUUCAUGUAACUUGGUCCAGUAGUUGUGUGUGUGUGUUAGUUGUGUGUAUGUAUGCACUAUACAGUAUGCACAUCUUGUUGUGUGUGUAAGUGUGUUAGCGCAUAUGUCCCACCAGGUUUGUAUCCACUUGCGAUGCAAGCCAGCUUGCUCUUGGUCUCCCAGCAUUGCAUGGUGGAUCUCCAUCUCUCCCACUCUGGUGGUUCUGGAGGCCUGCUAUCACACAGAGUCUGGAACAUGACAAGAAUAAAAUAGAGAACUUAUGUGUCUACGUCCGGAACCGCUCUCAUCCCCUGUUCAGAUACACAUCCCCAUAGCCACUGGGUAACUGUCUGUAAGACAACACCACUCUCUUUGACAAGACACAGAAUAACCCCAUUGAGACAAACACCUCAGGCAAUUUUCAUAAAGUGUCUGACAAAGUUAUUUGGUUCACAUAACUGUGCUUAACAUUCCCACCAAGAGGUUUCAAUAAGGUGUGUGCUUAUAAAAAUGCUCAGGGCAAAGUCGUGACCGUAUUUCAAAAAUAUAAAAUUGGAUGGUUCCAGGUUUGAUGAUGUUUUUCCAGCUACAGUUCUGCACGUCUUUGUUAACUUUGGUGGAGGACUUUAAAUCGCCAUUACAAAGAGAUUUUUGUACAGCAAAUUUACUCAAUACCUCCUUUUUAUUAGAAAUAUCCUUCCCUGAAAAAUGCGAAUAGUCUGUGCCUGCAACAGAGAAAAUUCUCAGGUCUUUAAACCCCCUCUAGAGAACCAAACAUUUACCCGAUAGUGCUUUUAGAUCUAAGAGGCUUUCUCAGAGGGUGUGAGGACUUAAAUAUUUGAUAAGUUAAUGAAUAGCUGUAAUUCCUACUCCUACGGAUUGGACAAUUCUCUGAAUUUCACAGGCAGUUAAGACAUACUAGUCACUCAGUGAUUUUAGCACUUCCUAGCACUCUAGAGUCUAUCUUUCAUUGAGUUUAAUGGAGUCACUUUGGGAGAACUGUGGUAAAGAAGUACCACUGAAACACCAAACAAAGAAUGCAUUAAAAGCUGAGAGGACUGCAGACUCAUGGCAUUAUAAGUGAGAGUUGAUAAAGGGAUACGAGAGGAAAGCACCUUUCUUUUGCAUUUGCAUGAUGAACUGUGUGCACUCACUUUUUUGUUGUUGACUUUGUGUUUGACAUUUUACUUCAUUGUUAGGAGCUAGUAACAUAAGCAUUUCACUGCAUCCCCUAUAACAUCUGCUAAAGUGUGUACGUGACCAUCAAACUUUGACUUGAUAUAUUAGACAGUGCUGUAGAUACUUAUAUUUUCUGAGAGUUGCCCAGAGUGGCUCUGUUAUCCAGGUGUUUCUUGAGCUGUGUCUUCUGAUCUCUGAGACGGGCUUUCCGAUUGGACACCACUUUCUCCAACUCAGACAUCUUCUCCCGCAGCUCCCGAUUUGCCCUGGAGACGUCAGCUGACCUAGAUGACAAGUCCUCAAGAGCUUUUCUCAACUGAAGAGAAAGAGAGAGACACGUAAAUAGAAGGGAAAGACAGAAAUAAAGAGUGUUGAGAAAAGAGGCCGGAUGAUACUUCAGAGUUCUGACUGAUGAUGGAGUGUGAGAGAGAGUGCAGUACCUCUGAGAUUUCUCUCUGUGACAGCCUCUUCACAGAGUCCCUCUCUAUCCUUAUCUGAAACUUUAUAGAUUCCAGAUGCUCUGAUCAUCGACCAAUCUCUGUUCUGGCCUCAGCCAACUCCGUCUCUCUGAUAGACAUGCAGAAUUUAGACAUAAAUGUCACAUUCAUGCUAAGUAACCAUGUACGCUUUCACAUAAUUAAACCACACUAAAAUAAACCCCCACUAUCCACAUUAGUCCUAAUUAGUUACCUCUGUGUGAUGGUGUUCUGGGGUUGGUCUCUGGCUCGGUCUAGGUUGGCCUGCAGAGGGCCGUUGGCCAACACAACCUGCUCCAAACUCUGGGCUAGUUUCUUGUUGUCCAGCCUUGCCACAUCCAGGGCCUUAUGCAAGAGUUCCAGCUAGAGAAUCAAAUGUAUCUUUGUAAACUACUAUGACUAUUAAAAUCUAAGAGCUGUUUGUGGGUAUAUGUGUGUUGAUGACUCAUUAAUGGAUGUAGUUACCAUUUAGUUUUUCUUUGAGCUUCUCCACCUCUGCCUGUAGCCUCUGAAUCGCUCUCUGACCCUGCAGUCUGACAAAUACAUUGGUUGUUCAAACAUACACCCAUAUAUACAUGCACAACAGACAGACAGACAGACAGACAGACAGACAGACACACACCUACCCAUCUCUCCUGAGUGAGGCUAGCUCCUGCUCUCGUCUCCCCACCUCCUUCUGUACAGACUCAGUGUUGUGUUGCAGACGGGAGUGGGAGGCCAAAAUAUUCUCCAGGGUCUGAGCCACACUGCCCCCACCAUGACGAGACACACCUAGCCAGCCCUCCAGCUCACACAGCUACAGGACAAGCACAAAGAGCAGAAUCAGGUAAGAUAGUGCUGGGCUGGAACAAAAGCAUGCAUACACCCUGUAGCUCUCCAGGACCCAGGUUGGGUAACCAUUUUACUAGCCCUUUGACCUUGUUCCCAUGCUGCUCCUGCAGUUUGUCCAGUUGUCCCCUCAGGGUCUGGCUGUCCUUCAGAGCCUUGUCUCUCUGGCUGACACCACAGUCUCUGGCUAUCUGUACUUUACUCAUU